GUGUGUUUGGUGGUGAUGGGUUUUUUGUGGUUUGAUUGGGUUAUUUUUAGGGGGGUGGUUUAGCAUACAGCAUUUCUGUUAUCUGAUACUUUUUUCCGCAAUGAUUUAUGUGUCAAAUCCUCAAGCUAAGCUUUUAGGAUUUUUUAAAACAUGUACAUUUCUAGGAUGAUGCAGUGUCUUAGCAUCGUUUCUUUAGCAUUUCCUAAUUUAGAGUGUUUAUGGGGGACGGGCGGUCUUUAUGGAAUUAAGGAGCUAUUGUUAUAUUCUUAGUUGAUGUUUGAGGUGAUUAACUUUGCUCGCGUAGAUCGUAGGAGAAGAAAUCUGCUCAUCAAGAAACAUCCAAUUAUGACUUUAAGACUGCCUUUGCAAACAUGUUUGAAGCAUAAUAAACAGUAACUCGAAUUUUCAACGCGAUAUUUGGCCAACAAAUUUUUGUCAUGUUUUAGAUAUCUUCCUUUUGUUACAGUAAAAUAUCAUCCCUUAUGUGGAAUGUAUCCUUAAGAAAGGGUUUAAAAGAAAGUGAACAAAAAUGUAAUUUGGCUUAAAUAGCACAAAACUUCUGCUUGGGGGAGUGACAUUUUUAAAAAUCUGAUACUUGAAAAAAAUAGUUUAACCGGGACGUCAUUUUGCUCUUUAUAACUUCUUCUGAUGAUUAUUAAGAUUUAUGUCAGAAAUUAUGAUUCAGGUACACACCCCCUCACCACUUGUGUUAAUAUGAGGUCUCAAUCACCAUGUAUUCAGUAUUCACUCAAGCAAAACUCCCACUGAACUCCGGUUACGUUUUGACUGAGCUACAUCAGAGUUUUGCUUAAGAAAGAACACUGAGCAAGACUUCUUUUAUUAGCGACUUUAUUCUUUAAUUGUUAUAUUUUCCCUUAGGAUGGGAGAUAGAUAAACAAACAAACAAGCAAAAAAGUCUGCCUGUAGAUAAUCACCGCUAUUGCUCUUAAUUGUGUGAUCGCGAAUAAUACACCAGCCCGAGAAAGUAUAUGCGCAUACAUCUUACGCUACUACAAAAUCAGCGAUUGGCAAUAAAUAUGUAUACACACAUAUAGACACACACAGACUGCAGAGGUGUAUAUCCAUUGCAUUAGUGUCUGUAGUAGCUUCUCUGCUUUUCUGUGCACUGAAGUGUUCUUGUUUUUAAUACCCCCCCCCCCCCCCCCCCAAACCCCCAACCCCUUUCCGCCCCGUGGUGAAGGUGCCCGGGUAAAUGGGUCAGAAACUGGUGGGCAAAUGGGUUAGGAAGAGGUGAAGGUGAAGAUCAAUAGAGGUUUUAGGGCUGGCUGUAUCUGUUGUGCUGGGUUUGUGUGACUGUGCCCAGAGGGCGGAGUUCCUGCACAUUCCUACCUCACCGGAGAACCUGCCCUCAACUCCACUUCAGCUACUCCAGAGAGAUGGGACCCUCCAGAAGAAACCUGCCCAGAAAUCCUUCCCGCCAGAAGGGUAGGUGCACUUCAAGAAAAUCUUCCCUACCUCUUAUCCCCACAGGCAGAUCCAUGUGAUACGAAUGAAUAGAGAUGACAGACUUCUGUCUAAACGUACAGUUUCCCCGUGGCCCCCGAUAAGCAGGUCGCCCGUGCAACCGAAGCACAGUUUCAAAGCACCGGUUACACCAAAAACUGCGUGUGCCUAAUGUCAGGAUUUUCGCUCUCUCUCUUCUUUUUUUUUCUUUUCGGUCUCUUCCUCAAAGUGUUUCCUCCCCCGGCCUUCCCCCUCCCCCUCGGGCUCUUUCGUUUCAAUCGAUGCCAGGAGAAACUGCCUCUACCUGCAAGAAAGGCGCACGAUGGCACCUGGGGAUAGGAGUCUUCCGACGGCACCGGAUCACUGGAGGCAAACAUCGAAUUAAUUGGAUCUCAAUGACUGAGGUUGGUAACUUUGUAUUGAACUAAGGUUAUCUCUGUCACAGCGUUCAGGUGUUUACAAGACAUUUUAGGACUUUCUAGAAAAUGUAAAUCCAGACAAUAUAUACGAUAAAAUUAAAAGGGCAUUACAACAUUGUUUACUUAAAAUCCAAGUUAUACUGCCCAUAUGUAGGGAGAUAAUACUCUAUGGGUCUGUAAUAAUCUAUCUAGAGGUUAUAAUUUUUUUUAAUUGAUGUGUUUUUUGAUUCUUCUUUCUUUUUUUUAUUUAUUUAUUUUUUAAAAUGAUUUUUAAGCCUGGCAUUGGAAUAGCCAUGUGUGUUUCCUGUACAACUAGAGGGCCUUCCUUGCACUAUUUUGUAAAAGCAAAUACCACUCUUCUAAGCCCAGUGAUUAUUUUUUCAAGGUUAGUAAUGACGCAUAUUCCUAAUGUUUAUUGUUGAUAAAGACUUUCAGACCGACUGCAGGUCUGGCACUUUCUAUGAAGAGUCAUUUUCAGAUGUGUCCUCCCUUUCUUUGAAAGUACCGGCUUGAGCAAAGUGAGAUGAGGCAAGGCAACCCCAGCUGGAAACCAACGCUUUUUAAAGUUUCUCUGCUCUUUCAAUUAAUACUCGAUUUUUUCACAAAUAAUAUGACAUUGAAAAAUGAACGAUAUGAUAAGCUGUAUUAUUAGGCUAUAGACAUAUUGGGGACCCAAUGCAGUGGCAUGAAUGUGAAUUUACUUUUGAUACUUGUGGAAGUCGAAUCUGGCCAUUCAUGAAUUAGAUAGUAGUGUCCAUAUGGCAUUGGUCUUAAACUCAUUUCCAACGUUCAUAGCAUUUUGAGUUAAAAGAUAGUUUUUGGGUUUGGUUUGUGGUUGGGUGUUUGGGUUUUGUUUUGGUUUUGAUUUUUUUGGGUGGGUUUUUUGUUUUGUUUUGAUUUUUUUGGUUGUUGGUUGUUUUUUUUUUCCCCUCACAAAGUCAGUUUUGUUUUGUGCUUUAGAAACGAUGUAGGCAUUGAGAACAGAUAUCAGUGAAUUUCGUGUACCCAAGUGUGGCAGAAUCGUCUUUGCAUACCUUCCUCUGAAACCAGCGAUAGAAAGCAAAGAGAGAAAGAAGUAAAGAGAGGGAGAGAGAGGAAGAAGGGGAAAAAAGACAAUUCAGCCCCGCUGAAUUAGGUAGCAGAUCUAUAACUAAUGAACCAUACAAUCAUAUUUAACAAGCAUCUGAUGAAUGUUCUGGGCAAUUUCAAACAUGGCUUUGUUCAGAUUAUAUGACUUGAAACACAUCAUUUCCCGGACCAGUGUGAACGCUGGAGACUCAAAACCAAAAUGUCCCUACCGUUUUCCUUAACUCCUUACGUGAGAAGAAGAGGGACAUAGGUUCAUUCUCACGGAGGAAAGAGAGAGGAGAACGAAAGACAAAGCACAAGGACAUAUGCCUCCGGAGCACAACAGCACAGAAUUCUGCACCCUGAGAACCAGGGAACAUUUCUCAUCCCCCUGAAAGACUAAUGCCCUCCUCCUGCCACUGCAAUUUCCUCUGCAACAAAGCCGUACAUUAAAUGGGCAUGGUGGAUAGUAAGGACCUACCAGUUUCUUGCUGUAGUUCUGCUAAUAAAUAAAAUUCUAAAUGUUCAAAACACUCUAUCUGUCACAUUCACAAGAUAGGUACUGUAAAUUCCUGUUGAAAAUAUACAAACAGAGAUCCAA